AGCCGCCGCGUCGCUGACUCUCGGUCCGCUUGCCUUCUCUCUUCGCCUCGGGAGCCUGUUACAUUCGAGCGGCGGGAGCAGUGGCGGGUCCCUUCCGUGCCUCCCCUCUAUUUGCUGCCAGGUCUCGGUCGCUGCCGUAGAAAAGGCCGAUGCUCCUUUGCGAGGGAAAAGUCGCCCUUUGGUAAACAGACGGGGAAGGUGUUGGCGCGCUUGCUUGCCUCUCCUUCCUCUUUCGAUGUUCUCGCUUGAGCUGGCAGGAAAAGGGGGCGGCUCUUGCGUGGAAAUGUGACUGCUGGCUUGCCGGGCUCGGUCGAUGUUUACGAGAGGCUGUUCUCUCUAGGUUUUGAACUCUAAUACUGAGGCACUGCUUUGGAAUCAUUUUUUUAACAUGGAGCAACUAGAAGAUUCAUCCAAGAGGAUUCUUUUAGAGCCAUACAACUACCUGCUUCAACUCCCUGGUAAACAGGUCAGAACCAAACUUUCCCAAGCCUUUAAUCACUGGUUGAACGUUCCUGAAGAUAAACUUCAGGUUAUAAUUGAAGUGACAGAAAUGUUGCACAAUGCAAGUUUGCUUAUAGAUGACAUAGAAGACAAUUCAAAGCUACGACGUGGUUUUCCAGUGGCCCACAGCAUUUAUGGAAUACCAUCUGUGAUAAACUGUGCAAACUUUGUAUAUUUCCUUGGUUUACAAAAGGUUUUAACACUUGAUCAUCCAGAUGCUGUAAAAGUAUUUACCCGUCAACUGCUUGAACUCCAUAAGGGCCAAGGCUUGGAUAUUUACUGGAGAGAUACUUAUACCUGUCCUACAGAAGGAGAAUAUAAAGCCAUGGUUCUGCAAAAGACAGGUGGCCUUUUUGGACUAGCCGUGGGCCUUAUGCAAUUGUUUUCCAGUUAUAAAAAUGAUUUGAAACCACUCCUUAACACUCUCGGGCUCUUCUUUCAAAUCAGAGAUGACUAUGCAAAUUUACACUCGAAAGAAUAUAGUGAAAACAAAAGCUUUUGUGAAGACUUAACUGAAGGGAAGUUCUCAUUCCCAACUAUUCAUGCAAUAUGGUCCAGGCCAGACAGCACACAGGUUCAGAAUAUUCUGCGACAGAGAACUGAAAAUGUGGAUAUAAAAAAAUACUGCGUACAUUACCUCGAGAAUGUGGGAUCCUUUGAAUAUACCCGGAAAACAUUAGAAGAACUUGAGUCUGAAGCUUAUAAACAAAUUGAAUUGCUUGGGGGGAACCCUGAACUUACAGCAUUACUUGAAUAUUUAAGCAAAAUGUUCAGGGACAAUGAAAAUUAACAGUUAACAAUUGAAUUUUUUUGGAAAUUGUUUUUAAAGGAUCAAGAAAAGUAAGAUUCAUUUUACAGUAUCUAAUUUGCUGCAUAUGAAUUGUGCUAAAACAGAUCUUAAGGGGUAACUGGGGAUUUGUGCAUACAAUAUAUUACCUUAAAACUUCAAUUUUCAGUUGUUUAUGCAAAAUCAUGUGACAAAUGUCAAUUAAAGUGGCUUCCAACUCUCACUAUGAUUUUGAUUUGUAAUCCCAUUUGAUUGAGUUUAUUCUUAUCAUAGGACACAUAUCAAGAAUGAGUACAGUAUGACCUAAGAUGUUUUAAGAUGGAGGAAAAUCAUCAAAUGGGCGGUAGAGGACAGUACUAUCCAGAAACCUUUUAAAUGAGAAUUGAUCAACUUUACUGAAGUAUAAAAUGCAAACGGAACAUAAAAGAGCUACAUAUGCAUAGGAAAACAGUACGAACAGCUUAUAAACGAGGUACUGCCUUUCUUCAAGAAGUGUACUCCAAAACUGCUGGAAAUUAAUCUUACUCUGAGUGAAUAUACUCAUACAUUCCCGAAACUCCAUUUCCUACAAUGACAUCAGUGCAGGCCGAGAACCUUACAGGUAGUCCUCCCUUAAUGACCAAUUUUCUGGUUCCUGUUGUGGUUAAGUGGGUCACCACAUGACCGGACCCAAUUUUAUGACCAUUUUUAUGACAGUUAUUAAGUGAAUUACCAUGGCCAUUAAGCAAAUCACAUGGUCGGUAAGCGAAUCAUGUCAUCAUGUGAAUCCAGCUUCCCCAAUAGUUUUUGCCAGAAUUUGCUUAACAAUGUGUUUCACUUAACAACCACGUGAUUUGC